rnacentral:misc_RNA from 1 species
AAGUCGUAACAAGGUUUCCGUAGGUGAACCUGCGGAAGGAUCAUUAACACGUAUCCACGUAUCUACCACCCUGGUCACUUGUUUCUCUCCCGCCCUGUCGACUCACAUGAAUUGGAAGGUGCGUCCCUACUUGGAAGUUUGAAAAUAAAAAGAGUAAAAUCUUUUGUAUUUGAUUACUUUGCUAACAAUUGUAGUGUUGCGACAGGCUAUUUAAACAAUAAAACAAUUUUCACCACUUUUGCGAGUUGAUUUUUUACCAAUCUGUCUAUUUUUUCUGGUUGUGUUCUCCGUAAUUGAGUUUACGUGAGAGAUGACUCGUUUCGAAAGGAACGAAAAAAUGAAAAAAGAACACAUAUUACACCUUUACAACUCUUAGCAAUGGAUAUCUUGGUUCUC